ACAUGUCUAGAUAGAUAUGUAUGUCUAUGUGUGUGUGUGUGUGUGUAUAUAUAUAUAUAUAUAUACACACACACACACAUAUAUACAUACAUAUAUA
rnacentral:miRNA from 11 species